rnacentral:rRNA from 1 species
UACGUAGGGCGCAAGCGUUGUCCGGAAUUAUUGGGCGUAAAGAGCUCGUAGGCGGCUUGUCACGUCGGAUGUGAAAACCCGAGGCUCAACCUCGGGCCUGCAGUGGGUACGGGCAGACUAGAGUGCGGUAGGGGAGAUUGGAAUUCCUGGUGUAGCGGUGGAAUGCGCAGAUAUCAGGAGGAACACCGGUGGCGAAGGCGGGACUCUGGGCCGAUACUGACGCUGAGGUGCGAAAGCGUGGGGAGCAAACAGG